CCUACAUUAGCUAAAACGUUUGAUAGGCUUAAAACACUCUUAUAAACCUCUGAUAAAAAACGUUAUUCAUAAUCGUUUAUAAACCUUUGAUAGCUAAAACAGAGUUUAAUAUUUUCUUUCCACAGACUAUACAAAAAGAAUGAACGAAAACAGCUUUUUUGGUGAUUUAACUUGGUGGACCAUGUAAAAUCAUAGACAAAUCGCAGAAAAAAAAAACAAAAAAUUGGCAGCUGUGACGUUUUACUUACUGACAUUGACAUUUGGCACGAAAAUUUAAUAAAGUUUUCGGUUUUUUCGAUCAACUCCCAAGUUUUAUCAAACUUUUAUAAAACUUGGGAUUGUAUGUUCUGGAUUCUGUACCUCUUACCCUGUACUCUGCAAUAAGCUCUUACGACGACCCGGCUAGUUACAUCGGAUACUAAUUAUGUCCAUGACGAAGGAGAACAGACCGCCUAAAAGGCAACGAUCAGAAAACUGGUUGGAGGAAGAUAAGUAUUUGCUGAAAGAGUUGGUGAAAGAAAGAGUAAAUGCAAUCGAAAAUAAAAAUACAGACACUAACACGAAUAAACGGAAGGUUGCGGCUUGGGCUGAUUUACAAACAACGUUUAAUUCAAUGUGCGCUGGUAUGAACCGCUCCAUUACCCAGUUAAAAUCGCAAUGGAGCCUCAUAAAAAUCAGUGCGAAGAAAGACAAGACCAUUGCUAGGCAGGCUCAAAUUAAAACUGGCGGUGGUCCACCAUUAUCAGUGCCUGACGAUAGGGCUGAUGAUAUAGCAUCUUGGUUGCCCAAUGAAUUUGUAGUCGAUGUUAACAGAUUUGACUCGGACUCAAAUAAAAGUGAAUUAAUUAACAUUCAAGAGGAGGAAUCAACUCAAAAUACGCAAGAUCAGGAAUUGAUAAAUAAUGAAGAAAUCCAAUAUGAAUUGGUGGUACUUGAUGAAGAAAUAGAAGAUACACAUGCUUGUACUACUAGAGGCAUAUUGGAAGAUAAAGAAAAUAAAAAAGUAGAGGCAAAAGAAAAUAAAGCAAAACCUAAUUUUAAAGCACCAGCAAUCAAAAA